GAACGUGAGAGUGAUGAGAGAGGGAGAUAGACUGUUAAUUUUUUUUUUUUUUAAAUUAGAGAUGAUAAACUUAAAUGUAGUUGAGGUUUAAAACAAAAAAGGAAAAUUUUGUUUUGUAAAAUUACACUUCUAUUCUUAACUUUUCUAUUGUGAUGGUAGAUAAAGAAUUUCUUCAUACUCUUUUGAUAGAUAAAGAAAAUUUCAUUAAUGUAGUUUUAGAUUAUUCAUCUCUAAUAUUAGAAAGCCAGAAGUGAGUUUUGGUAUCUCAAGGCUUCACCAAAAAUAAUUGGACGUAAAAGCCCCUCAAACAAAAAAACCCAACUCAUGGAAUAAAUUAUAAAGAAAUUUGAUAAGGGAUAGAAUUGUCCAAAUAAAAAAAAGUCAUAAAAUGAUAAAAUAGAAAUAGAAAAUAAAAAAGAAAAAUAAAUGAUAAAUACAACUACCUCACAUAUAAAUAAAAGAGAAAAACAUUGAACAUGGGAUUCAAACCUCCACGUUUCCUUUGCACGCAUAGCAUUGCUUCCCAAAUCCUCCCCCCCCCCCCCCCCCCCAACUUCCCACUCCCACAUCAGUAUUUCCUCUACGUCUCUGGCUUUGCAAACAGAGCGGAAUGGUUAUAAAGAGGAAAUAAACCGUCAGAAAAAAAAUGGGUACAAAAUUCCAACAACGUGGCCUCAUAAACUUGACUAGAAGCUUUCAAGAGGAGUAAAUGAAUUUUCAAUACAAAAAUGGAGCGGUGGUUUUGGAUUUUUUUUUUAAUUUAGGUUUACUUCUGAAUUCAUAAGUUAAUAAUUCCUUUUGAUUUUUGUUUUGGUUAUCCUUUUUUAUCUUGCAAAUUCAUGACGAAGGAUCGGGGUACAGAAGUGCACGUUCAUUCAUUUGCUCAACGUUUACGGUUUUACGGUGUCCUUGAAUUUUUAAUAAUGCUUUUUGUUUUGGAUUUUUUCUUUUGGUUCAAAAUUGACUGAAUCAGUCCUUAACAGUUCGUAUAUUGUACAAAGGAGUGUUAUGUAAUGUUCCAUAUUCCUAUGAAUAGCAAUGCCAUUGUGGUUGUUUUCUUGGCACCAUGAAGAUGCAGUUGACCCACGUUAAUCUACUUUCUGCAUGGAGUUUCGCGCUUCCAAACUACUGCAGCCUCAUUGGUCACUGGGUCAAGGUGAAGCAUCAUGUUAUAUGUAUGAAGGGAUACAAUGAUUUGGUGUUGUUAUCGUAGAAAGUGGGCUUGCAGGUUUCAGUUCUCACCCAUUUGCAUGCUAAGAAUGUACACAAAUCGGUAGAAAGAACUGCUUUGAAAUUCUUUCAGUUUUGGCAAGGAUACAUUUUCCAGAUCGAUGAACCCAGAAGAGAUAUGUUCACUGAAGGACUUGAUAGGAGCGCCCUUCAUUGGGUUAGAGAGGUUUGUGAAUAAAAAUCAUUACCCACUUUCUUUUUUCGAAUUAAAAAAAAAAGUAGGGUUUAAUUUUUACUGUUGUUUGAUUUAGUUCUCAGCAUCAUUCGUGGUAUUGUAGUGAUUCACUACCCGAUUAAUAAAACCCAUAUUUUAAUUCUUUUAAUUUUAUGGAUUUUUGGCAUCUGAUUUUGGUUUUUGAAUAAAUCUAAUUUGUUUACUGUUAGUCAAAUUUGUUUAGAUCUUUUCAUCGGGGGUUACAAACAGCAACGCUCUCUUCCUGAAGAAUAGCGAAUUUGGUCUCGGUUUGAAGAAAAUUUGAAGCCCAUAAAAGAUUGCAUCUCCUGCUGUCGAUUUGAUUUGGGAGAUUGGGUUUUUCGAGUUUGUGACUGUUCUUAGGAGCCUGCGAAGACCUGUGUGUUUAAGGUCAGUGAAUUUGAAAUUCCAAGGUUUUGAUUCUACUUGCAGCCUGAGGUGUGAUUUUAACCCAGAUUAGUUAAUAUAAUUAUUUUUUUUUUCUGAUUAUGUAACUGAAGUAAACGUGGUUUGUAGGUUUUGCAGAGAAAAGGUCCUGCGGAAAUCAUUUCAUGUUUUCGUUUCAUAUUUUCUAAUUUGGGUGUUUCAAAUUUGUUUCUACCACUUAUGAAAAAAUUCCAAGAACAAAGACUAAUAAUCUUCUCCUGUUUUGUGGUUAAUUUAUGAAAACAGGGGAAUUAUGAAUGUUGUGAGACUUCACUUCUAUAUGGUCUGAUGCAUAAAUGUGUUUGAUGUUAUUUUAUGAAUAUGUUAAAUGGGUUAAGAUGCAUAUCGUUGUUUACAGGGUAUAAAAAAUAGUUAGCUACUUUUUUUUGUGCUUUGGGGAUUUUAUCAGAUUUGAAAUAAGACGAAGAUGAAAUUAAUUUCGAACAAAUUAAAGAAUGCAAAAUUUUGUUAUUUGGUUAUUGAUUUAUUAAUGGUAAUGAGCUAUUCAACUUUUUUUAUUUUAAUUGUGAGAGUUUUCUAACUUUCUUCAUGUCUUGGGUUCUCUUUUGGAUUCGUUCUCUGUGUUUACAUGGGUUUUGUUUGUGAGUUCCUUUUUUAUGCGUGUUGUUUAGAUUGGUGGUUUGAAUGUGUCAUUUGGUUUUAUUUUUUAUUCCAGGAGUUGUGGGUCUUCAUUUUUUGGGGCCUUUUUCUCUGCCAUUGUAACAUUUUCGUAAUAGAGGUAAGUAAUUUAGAGUUACUCUUUUCAGCCUAUUAUGUAAGAAAGUGAUAAUUCUUUUCGCAUAUUCUGAGGUGUCAGUUUUGUAUGAUCUAAAUGUCAAAUGUG